rnacentral:rRNA from 1 species
GAGCGGCGAACGGGUGAGUAACAUAUCGGAACGUGUCCUUUAGUGGGGGAUAACGCAGCGAAAGCUGUGCUAAUACCGCAUACGAUCGGGAGAUGAAAGCGGGGGAUCGCAAGACCUCGCGCUAAAGGAGUGGCCGAUAUCAGAUUAGCUAGUUGGUGAGGUAAAGGCUCACCAAGGCGACGAUCUGUAGCUGGUCUGAGAGGAUGAUCAGCCACACUGGAACUGAGACACGGUCCAGACUCCUACGGGAGGCAGCAGUGGGGAAUUUUGGACAAUGGGGGCAACCCUGAUCCAGCCAUUCCGCGUGAGUGAAGAAGGCCUUCGGGUUGUAAAGCUCUUUUGUCGGGGACGAAACGGUUACGAUUAAUACUCGUGACAACUGACGGUACCCGAAGAAUAAGCACUGGCUAACUACGUGCCAGCAGCCGCGGUAAUACGUAGGGUGCGAGCGUUAAUCGGAAUUACUGGGCGUAAAGCGUGCGUAGGCGGUUUUAUAAGCCAGAUGUGAAAUCCCCGGGCUUAACCUGGGAAUGGCAUUUGGGACUGUAAGGCUAGAGUAUGGCAGAGGAGACUAGAAUUCCUGGUGUAGCAGUGAAAUGCGUAGAUAUCAGGAGGAAUACCGAUGGCGAAGGCAGGUCUCUGGGUCAAUACUGACGCUCAUGCACGAAAGCGUGGGG